rnacentral:lncRNA from 10 species
UUGAGGGAACACUGGGCAGGAACGUGAACUCACACAGCAAAGCCACAUGACUCGUAGCAUUGCUUCUGCCACCAACAAAUUUUGAGAUGUAAUCAGCUUUUCUUUUUAUUAUUAUUUUUCUUUGUUUGCUUGUUUGUUUUCCUCAGCCAUGUCCAUUGAACUACAUCUAAUAUUCUGCAUGACACAUAGCAUCUGGGAUUGCAAAGAGAAAAGGGAUAAAGAGGCACAGAAAAGGGUGGUACCAUGAAUGUCAUCUGUCACUAACAACGGUCAUUUUCUGGGUAAGCCUGAGACAGUUUAACACAUUUUAGAAGACAUUUCAACUGACAGCUAAGAAAAUUACAGAGCUCAGGUCUAUUGGAGUUUACAGAAGUUGGGACCCAAUAUCCCAAAGUCUACUGGGACAUCAUGCAUUUAAUUGUAAAAGGUAUGGACUAGGAAUCUAAAAAGUGAUAGAGGAGAUGGAGCUGCACGUAUUAAAAGUUUCAAGGCACAGAACGUCCCACCAAUGGCCCAAUGUUUCAGUUGUGAAAAAGACCAAGAGAACAGCAUCAAAUUCAUGGGCCAAUUUCAAAGAGUUUAAACUCAAGCUGAUGAAAAGCCUACCUGGUCACAAAAUUUACCCCACUAAAAUUCCAAUCAAGAACUAAAUGAAGAAUGUGUUGAAGUCUUUUGGUGUAUAACUGAGGAGUAAAAGAAUGGGAUGCAAAAGACCCAAGUUCUAUUCUUAACUCCAAAUAGUUACUUCGAUGUUUUCUUCAAAAAGCUGCUUCUCCUGUGCAUUCAUUUGUGGACAGUAGUUUAUUAAGCAAGGUCUGUGUAGCACCCCACUAGGCAUUCCAGGAACCCCAUAAGAAGUAUAAGAUAUGGUCUUUAUCUUCAAGGAGUUGGAAAGGCAAACCUACACACUUCCAAAGCUACAUACCGAAAGAUGACAAUGCGAGAGAUGUCAUUAGCCUGCCUUCAUAUAAUUGUAAGACAAAUAAGUGGUUCAGGGAAGAGUUCAGAGGUGUGAUGGUUAAUUUUAUGAGCCAACUUAGCUAGGCUAUGGUGACCAGUUGUUUGGCCAAGCACAAGUCAAGACAUUGCUGUGAAGGAAUUAUUUAGAUGUGAUUAGCAUUUAAACCAGUAGACUUUGAAUAAAGCAGAUUAUCCUUCAUAAUGUUGGUGGGCCUCAUAAUGCCUCACUUGGAGGCAUUAAGAACAAAGACUGAGGUUUCCCAAAGAAGAAACAACUGCCUCAAGACUGCAACAUAGAAACUUUACCUGAGUUUCCAGCCUACUGACUUUCUCUUUUUGGAUUUCUAUUCAUAUUUUGUAUCCGUGAAGAGAUGCUCAAACUUACAGUCAGAGAAAUGCAAAUUAAAACAAGAAAAACAAUGAAAAAAUAGAAAGGUGAAUAAUUACAAGUGUUGGUGCUGAUAUGGAGAUCUAAGAACCCUAUAUUAUUAGUGUAAAUUUCUAUGGUCAUUCUGGAAAUUGACCUAGAUGAACUCAGGGAAAUUAAAUACGCAUAGACUAAAUGUCCCUAUAUUCUCACACAGGUCGAUACAAGAAUGGUGAUCUUGAAAAAGCAUCCCUAUAACAUUUGUGGGACCCAGGGCAAGAAUACACAUGGAAGCCCACAUCCCACAUAACUAAAUUAUUUAAAGUUACCAAUCAAGUAACAAAUAUAUUCUACCUUCAACCUUGACAAAUACAUACAUUCAUAAUGGCCUGGAAGGCCAGGUUUUAAUUAGUUAAUUGUAACUCCUUGGGGUCCCUAUUCUCUAGUUCUGACCCCCAAUACACCCCUAUUUUUUUCCCAACCCCAGCUCUAUCCACACCAAGAGUGGCCCCAUGUAAACACACUUUAUAAAUGAGGAAGCUGAGGCUUGGACAAUUUAUUCAAGAUCACCAAAUAAGUAGCAGAAUCUGGGCUUGAAUUUAGGUUUCCUGACUCCAAAUCCUGCAAAGCUCAGUUAUUUUCAGUGAACAAAGUUAACCAGAGAAUUGCUCAUAAAAAUAGUCCUAAAAUUGAGCUCUCAAGAUGAGGUGGGAUAACCCUGGAUGAUAAUCAUUGCCAUAAAUAAAUGGCAGCCCACAUAUACAAGAUCUAUGCACAUCCCUCUCAUACGAGCAGGUCUUGGCCACUACACAGGCCAGUGAUGCAGUCUGUCCUUACAAUACUGGAUCCCAACGGGAACCCUCAAAUUGUUGGGAUUGUAAAAUGGUGCCGCCAUUUUGAAAAACAGAAAACAAUCUGGAGGUUCUACAAAGAGCUAAACAUAGAGUUACCACAUGACCCAGAAAUUCCACUCCUAAGUUUAUUCCCAAGAGAAAUAAAACUCAUGUCCAUACAAAAAUGUGUACACAGAUGUUCCUAUCAGCAUUAUUCAUAAUAACCAAAAAGUGGAAACAACCCAAAUGUCCAUUAUUGAGGAAUGGAUAAACAACAUGUGGUACAUCCAUACAAUGGAAUAUUAUUUGGCCAUUAAAGAGAAUGAAAUUCUGACACAUACUACAACAUGGAUGAACCUUGACAACAUUAUGCUAAAUAAACAAAACCAGUCACAGCAGAUGACAUGUAGUAUGAGUCCCACUUAUAUGAAAUGUCCAGAAUAGGCAAAUCCAUGGAUACAGAAAGUAGAUUCUGGUUGCCUAGGACUAAGGGGAUGGGGACGGGGAGUGAUGCCUAUGGGCACUAAGUUUCUUUUGGGGAGGCUGAAAAUGUUCCAAGAUCGAUUGUAGAAAUGGAUAAAUAAAAUGGGUACAUUCAGAUGACGGAAUGCUGCAGAGCAGUUAGAAGCAAUGAAGAAGUGUGCAACAAAAAGAAAUCUUUAAAAUGAUGUUGCGUGAAAAAAGUAAUAGCACAAGAAACGCACAAUACCAUUCACUUCACACACACACAGCUAUGAAUUUUACAUGGAUCCAUGCAGAAGAAGAGAAUGGGCGUGGAAACUGAAGAUAGGAGAAAAUAGAGCAAGAGUGGAAAUUUUCUCUCAUCUGUGAUGACAAUGAUCUCUGAUCUGAGAAGUUAGUUUAUAGUGUUAAUUAAUUCAACUCUCUGUACCUGAGGUUUGAAAACAAUUUUAAUAAAGUAAAGCAGAAGACACUUAAAAUAUAUA